UGGGGAAUAUUGGACAAUGGGCGAAAGCCUGAUCCAGCAAUGCCGCGUGAGUGAUGAAGGCCCUAGGGUUGUAAAGCUCUUUUACCCGGGAUGAUAAUGACAGUACCGGGAGAAUAAGCCCCGGCUAACUCCGUGCCAGCAGCCGCGGUAAUACGGAGGGGGCUAGCGUUGUUCGGAAUUACUGGGCGUAAAGCGCACGUAGGCGGCUGUUCAAGUCAGAGGUGAAAGCCUGGAGCUCAACUCCAGAACUGCCUUUGAAACUAGACAGCUAGAAUCAUGGAGAGGUGAGUGGAAUUCCGAGUGUAGAGGUGAAAAUUCGUAGAUAUUCGGAAGAACACCAGUGGCGAAGGCGGCUCACUUGGACAUGUAUUGACGCUGAGGUGCGAAAGCGUGGGGGAGCAAACA
rnacentral:rRNA from 1 species